CUGUCUCAUUACCGAGUGAGGGCCCUCUGGGUCCAACCUCCCACCCGUGUUUAUUUUACCUUGUUGCUUCGGCGGGCCCGCCUUAACUGGCCGCCGGGGGGCUUACGCCCCCGGGCCCGCGCCCGCCGAAGACACCCUCGAACUCUGUCUGAAGAUUGUAGUCUGAGUGAAAAUAUAAAUUAUUUAAAACUUUCAACAACGGAUCUCUUGGUUCCGGCAUCGAUGAAGAACGCAGCGAAAUGCGAUACGUAAUGUGAAUUGCAAAUUCAGUGAAUCAUCGAGUCUUUGAACGCACAUUGCGCCCCCUGGUAUUCCGGGGGGCAUGCCUGUCCGAGCGUCAUUGCUGCCCUCAAGCACGGCUUGUGUGUUGGGCCCCGUCCUCCGAUCCCGGGGGACGGGCCCGAAAGGCAGCGGCGGCACCGCGUCCGGUCCUCGAGCGUAUGGGGCUUUGUCACCCGCUCUGUAGGCCCGGCCGGCGCUUGCCGAUCAACCCGAAUUUUUAUCCAGGUUGACCUCCUCCGAUCCCG
rnacentral:rRNA from 1 species